UUACUCUGGUUUCUCUUCAGAUCACAAAAAUCUUUUGCCUUUUACUAAAGGUUUCCAUAGAGAGAAACAGUUUUGAGUUUUGAACCAAUAUUUGAAGGCUUGUUUCUGUAAAGCU